ACACAAAACCCUAAUGAAAAUUAGGGUUUUAUAAAAGGACUUGUACAAAACCAACUUCUUGUUCUAUCACAGGGUGUUGUCUCUCUCUGUGAAGGCGGUGGCGACUUGAGUGACCCUCCCCAAUGGUGUAGCCGGGGUGGUUGCGCAAGUGGUGGAUCCUGGUGCUACAGCUGGAAGGUGGUGGUGGAGGAGGAAGAUGUGUUAAUCACUUCUUUUGGAUAUCUGUGAUCGAUAAAGCAAAAUGGUUCAUAUUGCUACCUGCAUUGUGUCGGAAGCCAAUUGAAUGUUCAAUUUGUUGUUAGAGCUGGUGGUGGAGUAGGAAGGUGUUAAUAUUUUUUUUUUAUCUUCACUCAAAUUCAUCUUAGUGUUUCUCUCGUUUUUUUGUUUUGUUUUGUUUUAGAAAUCCUGCAUGAAUUAUCUUUUUGAAAGUAGUUAUUUGAUAUACAUUGCGAUGA